rnacentral:rRNA from 1 species
ACCACCCUGGUAAUGUUGAGGUUCUAACUCUGUCCCGUGAUCCGGGACGAGGACCGUGUCUGGUGGGUAGUUUGACUGGGGCGGUCUCCUCCUAAAGAGUAACGGAGGAGUACGAAGGUGCGCUCAGCGUGGUCGGAAAUCACGCGUAGAGUAUAAAGGCAAAAGCGCGCUUAACUGCGAGACCCACAAGUCGAGCAGGUACGAAAGUAGGUCUUAGUGAUCCGGUGGUUCUGUAUGGAAGGGCCAUCGCUCAACGGAUAAAAGGUACUCUGGGGAUAACAGGCUGAUACCGCCCAAGAGUUCAUAUCGACGGCGGUGUUUGGCACCUCGAUGUCGGCUCAUCUCAUCCUGGGGCUGAAGCAGGUCCCAAGGGUAUGGCUGUUCGCCAUUUAAAGAGGUACGCGAGCUGGGUUUAGAACGUCGUGAGACAGUUCGGUCCCUAUCUACCGUGGGCGCUGGAAAUUUGAGAGGAUCUGCUCCUAGUACGAGAGGACCAGAGUGGACGAACCUCUGGUGUACCGGUUGUGACGCCAGUCGCAUCGCCGGGUAGCUAUGUUCGGAAGGGAUAACCGCUGAAAGCAUCUAAGCGGGAAGCCUACCUCAAGAUAAGAUUUCCCUAGGACUUUAUGUCCUCUAAAGAGCCGUUCGAGACUAGGACGUUGAUAGGUUGGAUGUGGAAGCAUAGUGAUAUGUGAAGCUGACCAAUACUAAUUGCUCGUGAGGCUUGACUAU